GUUAGGGAUUUGUAGCAGGCUCACUACAAUCACCUCGCUGACAAAGCAGUGAGCAGCAGAAGCAGAUGCGUUGGUGGUGUGUGUAGCUGUGAGUGUUUGGACUGAAGGCCCAAGAAUGCUAAAGUAAAUCAGCGCUCGGCAGGAUCACAAGCACCCUGGCAAUGGGAAGAACUUUUCAGACUCCAGAUAAAGCUAUUGGCAGCCUAUCAAGACUCCGCACUCAAACUUGCUCACAAAUGGCCUAAGGAGAUACUUCUUGGCUGCUCCGUACUUCCAGCACCUUCUGUUUCUGUUUUGGAUUUCCAGCAUCUACAGCGUCCUGGUCAAUGGAGGCUAACACCCAGGCCUGGGCUCUUUGGAGUGCUAGUGUAUCAUACACAGUGAUUCCAGGUCCUCAGCUUGUGCCUGUGUGUUGGCUGCCCUGGAUUCCAUAUGAUUCCAUCUCCAUCUCCAACAACCUUCCCUGGAUAGUCAAUGUCAUUACUAUUGCCAUAUCACCAACAGUUAAGGUUCCGGGGAUUCAUGAACAAGUCAGGGCAGGGUCGUCCUAAACACACGAGUUUGUGCAGAUGCUGGAAAUCUUGAGCAGCACACACAAAAUUCUGGAGGAGCUCAGCAGGUCAUGCAGCAUCUAUGGAGGGGAAUAAACAUUUGCCAUUUCAGGCUGAGACCAGGGUCUUAGACCAAAAUAUUCAUUCCCCUCCAUAGAUGCUGCCAAGACUGGGUAACCUGUGGUAAACAGCUCACGACCUGACUCUUCCACCAUCUACAUCAUGCAAUGUGUGAUAGCAAUCUCCAAACCUGCCUGGAUGAUAACAACCGCGGAAAGAUUCAAGAUUGUUUAAUGGAGUACACAAGUUUAAUGGAGAACAAAAUCAUUGUUGCUCUGGCUCGAGUGCAGCAUCAAAAAAAAACACAAUAUGAUAAAGAAUAAUAAAAAAUACAAUAAAUAUAAAUACAUAAGAUAGUUUAUAUACUGUACAUAGAUUUUUAUGUCCAUAGAGUGACAAUAAACACAGGAGUGCCUUUACAUAAGGUGACUGACAAGAAAUGAUAAAGUAGUGGUGGUUUGGAGUGGUUUCGUUGUUGGAGGUGUUGAUCAGCCUUACUGCCUGAGGGAAUUAACUGUUUUUUUCAGUCUGGUGGUCCUGGAAUAUCAGGAAUCUCAAAGCUACCCAGAACAAAGAAACUCAUUUGAUUCAUAUUACUAAUCAAGAAAAACAUUCACUCCCAGUACUAUCAGCACACCACGUCUGCAGUGUGUACCAUCUGCACAAUGCAUUACGGCUAAUUGACUCGGCUCCUUAAACUGCACACCCGAAUCGUCAAGAAGUGCAAGGCAAUAGGCACAUGGCAACACCACCGCCUGCAAACUCCCCCACCCCAGUUAUACAAGAUCCCAACUUUAUUCUUCAUUCAGCGUUGCGAGUGUAGCAGCUCAGGCCAACAUAUCAGCUCAUUGCUCUCCAUGCAAUAAUUGCUGGCCACGCGAGUGAAUCCACACCCCGAUGGCUCAUAAAAAAAGGCAAUUUCUGGAGAAUCACACUGGAGGCACUAAAUUUGUAUCAGGAGAUUAAACAUUUAAG